rnacentral:rRNA from 1 species
GACGAACGCUGGCGGCGUGCUUAACACAUGCAAGUCGAGCGGUAAGGCCCUUUUGGGGGUACGACGAGCGGCGAACGGGUGGAGUAACACGUGGGUGGACCUCGCCCUCCAGCUCUGGGAGUAAGCCUGGGAAACGUAGGGUCGUAAUACCGGAUAUGCACUGCUUAUCGCAUGGUGGGUGGUGGAAAGUCCUGUUCUGUAAUGGAGUUGGGGCGGGC